rnacentral:tRNA from 1 species
GUGGCCGUCGUUCAACGGAUAAGGAUCCCGGCACGCCAGGCCGGGGACGAGGGUUCGAUUCCCUCCGACCACA